CUGAGCAGCGAGCCGCGUGAGGGAUGAAGGCCUUCGGAUUGUAAACCUCUUUCAGUAGGGACGAAGCGAAAGUGACGGUACCUGCAGAAGAAGCACCGGCUAACUACGUGCCAGCAGCCGCGGUAAUACUGUAGGGUGCAAGCGUUGUCCGGAUUUAUUGGGCGUAAAGAGCUCGUAGGCGGUUAGACACGUCUGAUGUGAAACCUGGAGGCUCAACCUCCAACCUGCAUUCUAUACGGUCUGACUAGAGUGUGGUAGGGGAAACUGGAAUUCCUGGUGUAGCGGUGAAAUGCCCAGAUAUCAGGAGGAACACCGAUGGCGAAGGCAGAUCACUGGGCCAAUACUGACGCUGAGGAGCGAAAGCGUGGGGAGCAAACAGGAUUAGAUACCCUGGUAGUCCACGCCAUAAACGGUGGGCGCUAGAUGUGGGAACCUUUCCAUGGUUUCUGCGUCGCAUCUAACGCAUUAAGCGCCCCGCCUGGGGAGUACGGCCGCAAGACUAAAACUCAAAGAAAUUGACGG
rnacentral:rRNA from 1 species